rnacentral:rRNA from 1 species
UACGUAGGGCGCAAGCGUUGUCCGGAAUUAUUGGGCGUAAAGAGCUCGUAGGCGGCCUGUCGCGUCUGCUGUGAAAUCCCGGGGCUUAACCCCGGGCGUGCAGUGGAUACGGGCUGGCUGGAGGCAGGCAGGGGAGAACGGAAUUCCCGGUGUAGCGGUGAAAUGCGUAGAGAUCGGGAGGAACACCCGUGGCGAAGGCGGCUCACUGGGCUGACCUUGACGCUGAGGCGCGAAGGCGUGGGGAGCGAACGGG